CUCUAGCAGACCGGAGGUAUUUGAUCUCAGAGCUGAAGCCACAGCAGCACAACAUUCAGCUGUGAUUCCACAUUUAUUCAACCUGAGAGAAAAUGGUCACUGUAACGUCCUGUGGUUCUCCUGCUGUGAUACAGUAAUCCUGUUAGAGCCAACAUGCAGCCAGGCGUACUGGAAUAUGCCAUGACAAGGAGAAAUCAGGAUUGAAAUUCCAGACUAAGCAGACAAAACAUUCAUAUCUAAAUUCAUGUGUGAAUGAGGAUUUCCUCAGGCCAGGAGGUGAUCUGGUACGACCUGAAGCUCAGUGUGUUAUUAAGGAACAGGUGGGGAUGGAAAGAACCAAAGACAGGAGUGCUUGGACUCAAUUUUCU